rnacentral:misc_RNA from 1 species
UCUCCGUAGGUGAACGUGCGGAGGGAUCAUUACUGAGUGAGGGCUUCGGUCCGACCUCCUACCCUUUGUGAACCAAACUUGUUGCUUCGGGGGCGACCCUGCCGCUUCGGCGGGGCGGCGCCCCCGGAGGCCAUUAAACACUGCAUCAUUGCGUCGGAGUUAAAGUAAAUUAAACAAAACUUUCAACAACGGUUCUCUUGGUUCCAGCAUCGAUGAAGAACGCAGC